CAUGGGCGCCCGCGGCCGCCGGGGCAGCUGAGGUGCGGGGCGGCCGCCGGCGCCUUUGUGAGCGGCGCGGACAACAAAGGCGCGGCCGAGCGGCCGGAGCCGAGGUCAAGGGCAAGGAACUCACCUCUUUGUGCCAGGCACUGAACUGAGCACUCUGGGAGGAUUAGCCCACCGAGUCCUCACGGUUCCCGAGACUCAGAGAGGUUAAGCAACUUGCCUGAGGUCACGCAGCAUAACACGGCAUCCAGGCUUCCGCUGGUUUCGUGAGUGAAACAACCAGAGUCUCAAAGGUGGAAGCAGGUGGCAAGUAACCUCUGCGAGGGGCUCACAGGAGGCUCCAGUGGACCGUCACCACGUGCAGGUCACCCUGUGCCUUUAAAUGUUGUCCUUUUGAGGGUCUCAGAGGCUGGGUGGGACUUCUGGGAGGGAGGAGCUGGGCUGCUGCUGGGAACUGGGAGCCCACCUUCCCAGGAGCUGGGGCCCCAUGUUUAAGCAGUUUCCUGGGGAACUGGCUUCCUCCCCAGUGAGUGAUGAGAAAACUCUCUGGGGCUGGGCCAGGUCAUGGGAGGCCUGCAAGGGUGGCGGUCUCCUCUGGGGAAGAUAGCUGUAUUUUACUGAUGCCAGGCAGAGAUCGCCUUCUCAGGGGGCUGGAAGAGAUGGGGAGCGGUUCCCAGAGCCCUGUUCCUGUGAGUCCCGUCACUUUGGGCAGGUGUCUUGCCCCUCUGGAGUCUUGGUUACCUCAUCUGUGAGGGAGGGAUAAUAUUAAACGUGUUCCCAAGGGAUUGAAAAAAUAACCGGUGUUUUUCACUGAGGGCCUCGAGUGUGCCAGGCAGCAUGCAUUAUCUUCUUUCAGUGCAUGUGGCAACCUUUGAGGUAUGUAGGGUUAUCUUCAUUUUGCAGAUGGGGCAGCCGAGGAACAGAGAGGGUAAUUCGCCUGAAGUCACACAACUUGUAAGUGGCAGAACUUGAACACUGAUCCGUCUGACUCUGGAGCCCUCCCUUGAAACCCCUUUGGUCCCUGUCAAACUUCCUUGGCAAAUCACCUGAUAGAAUCUACUGGGGCUCCAGCUUUCUGGCCACCCCACUUUGGGGCACCCCAAUCUAGUCCAACCCCAUAAGUUUUAUCACGAGGCCUUGGAGCCCCAGUGGGCCUAAGCCCCUUGCUCAUCAUCUCACAGCCACUUGGGGCAGACUUGGGACAAGAAUCCCAGCACCCCAGGGAUACUGGCUCUGCUCUUUCGCUACCCCACCGGACUGGGAGCCUGGCACCUGGGUUCUAAUCCCACCUCUUCUUCAAACCAGCCAGGAAAGCUUGGGCGUCAUCUCAUCCUGCCUCUAACUUCACCCUAAGCCUCAGUUUCCUCUUCUGCAAAAUGAGCUGGUGGAGAAUCUAGGGUCUCUACCAGUUCUAAUAAUCCACGAGUAUAGGAUUUCAGAUUUCUGGGAGUCUGCAAGAGUCAAACAUCUGCCACUUUUUUCUACUUCCUGUCCUCUGUUGCCUGGGGGGCAGGGGGAGAUUGAAUGGAGAAAACAACUCAGAGAGCCCUAUAGUUAGAUAGCAGUGUAUGAUCUAAGCAUUGAUGGAGCGCCCUGUGUGCCAGGCACUGAGCUGGCCGCUUUGCGUGUAACUGAACGGUGUGUUCACCAGGGAGGUGGGUAUUAUUAGCUACGUUGCAGGUGUGGGAACUGAGGCAUAAAGAGGUUAGCUAACUUUCCCGAGGGCCAGGCUAUACAGUUACCUUUAUAUGAGAAAUGGACUUAAAGGCCCAGAGGCAGUGCUAAGGGUCUGUGCAGGAUCUGUCCUGCCUUGUGGCCCGUCGUACAGAGCUCUUGGUAAAACCGGCUCUCUGGGAGUCCGGAUGGAAAAAUUCACCCUAUCCAUCCACCCUUGAGCAAUGGUGACUGGGGUCCAAUCUGGAAACACUCAACGGAUGACUCACAGGGAGGAUGAUGAAACCUCAGUUUCCACAUCUGUGGAAACUGGCUGCGAUGUCCAGGGCCGGCAGCUGCUGCCCUGCUGCCAGGCUCACCUGGGAGCAGGCUUGGAGGAUGCGAGGCCGGGCAGCCUGGGACCGUGGCGCGAGUCUGGGGCAUGGCCACCUGGCUUCUAGGUUGGCUCUGCCACUCACUCUUUUAUAACCCUGGGCAAGACACAGCCCUCCCUGGGCCUCGGUUUCCACAUCUGUAAGAUAAGAGGCUAGGUGUAGUGAUUUGUUGGUUCCCUUUGGGGCUAAUGUUGUGAGGAAUGGGCACAUUUGUUACCUUCUGGCCUCAUACCCUCAUUCAUUUGCUGGGUUCUUGGAGUCAUCCAAGA